ensembl:lncRNA
GCAUGAUGCGUCUUAACUAGCAAUCACUAGCCCCACGUCUGUUUUGCCAACACUGAGUGUAACUGUGGAAGCCUUUGAUGAUCCGUGACAGAGCGAGCAGAGACGCCAUUUGUUUUCUGCGGGGCUCCGCCGCGGCGACUGCUGUUCACACUCGGCUCUCUGGUGGGGGAGGGAGGUCUCGAACAGCGAGCAGAGAGAAAAGAAAGCGGAAGUCACUUCGAACCGACGUGUGUUGAUGGAUGGUCUACUCGGUUUGGCUAUGGACUUACAUGAAUAAACAUAUCGGGCCGGUGUUAGCUGUGUGAACUUCAAAAGCAAACCUUUGAAUAGCGAGGCCCACACUGAAGCCAGUCUUGUUCCGGCGUUGGCUGACAAUUCAAGGCUGCCGCUGUACUGAACAGCUUGCGAGGAUUAGUAUUUCAAUGUGAAGCAGUGUUGAAAAAUGAGCACGUAUGCACGGUCAUAUUUUUGGAUGAAUAAACAUCUCAACUCUUCUGAGACGCUAUAACAGACAUGACUUCCCAACUUGUUCCGUUUUCCAUGCCAGUGCAUGGUUACUGCAAACCUAUUUUUCUGAAUGUAUCUUAGUGUUGUGGAGUAUCAGUCCAAUAUGCAAUCUCCUUUUCGGAUUUGCUCCAGAGACACUUUGGACUCAUUUUGGAGACUAAAGUACGUUCACCAGCUACUUUCUAACUUUAUCUAUCUGGGCAAGUAGUGUACAGUGUUUUUAAUUUUAGUUUUAUGAAAACAACAUUGAUGACGAUUGGUGAGUGUGAACCAAAACCAUAAAGUUUCCAGCCUCAAAAUCAAAUCCGCUAAAGAAAUGGAAGAUGCUAAAAUGCGCCGGAGAGGUGAGAGGAUCUUCAGAGUUACUCUCAAAUACAAGUAAGCAAUAAUGCGAUCUAUAGUUAAUAUAAAAAUAUAGAUUAUUAGAGAUGUCACAGCCACAGGCACUGCACUACGGUGUCAGGGCUGAUCCAGGCUUAUUUGAAAGGAUCGGUGUAAUGAAAAUCCCAUCUUCCUUUGCUGUAGCCUACUGCGCCGACAAAUGUUGCGGCGCCCCGCCGUGACACAACCAUCCGGGCUCCACACGUUGCUCACAAGCCAGUGAAAGGUUUAGUGAAUAAAGAUAUAUGUGUACAUCUGUAUUGGCAAAAUACAAACCACUUUGUUGCGUCGGUUUUACAGAAUUUUUUUCUCCACCGCCAUGCUAAAAACGUUAGCUUAGCCAACGAGUUUCUGUUAGAUGGAUUAAACCAUGAGCCCCCGCAUGUUUUAUAUUUAUCAAUAUAUUGAAAUUUGGCGCCAUGGCAUUGAUAACGUAACGCAAGCGGA